UAAUAAGUGUUUUAUGGCACUUUUUAAAUCCAUAUCCACCUUGUGUGCAAUGUCAGUCGAUCUUCUUCAUGGAGAUCGACCAAACAUCAACCUUUAUUUUUCAACUCUUUGUCUGAAAAAUAUUAUGAAUAAACAAUUCAAAAUA
rnacentral:misc_RNA from 1 species